rnacentral:lncRNA from 10 species
UCACAGUGUUUUGUGGUUUCAUGCAAAUUUUAGGAUUGUUUUUCUAUUUCAGUAAAAAAUGGCAUUAAAAUUUUGAUAGUGAUUGCACUGAAUCUAUAGAUCAUUUUGGAUAGUAUGGACAUUCUGACAAUACUGAUUCCUCUGAUUCAUAAACAUGGCAUAUCUUUCCAUUUACUUAUGUCUUCUUUAAUUUCUCUUAUCAAUUUUUAUAGUUUUUAGGGUACAGAUCUUUUACUUCCUUGGUUAAAUUUAUUCCUGAGUAUUUUAUUAUUUUUGGUGCUAUUGUAAAAGGAAUUGUUUUAUUAAUGUCCUUUCAGAUAGUUUGUUAUUAGUGUAUAGACAUUAAAAACUGAUUUUUGUAUGUUGAUUUUGUAUCAUGCAACUUUAAAAAAUUGGUUUAUUAGGUUUUUUUGUGUAGCAUCUUUAGGAAGAUGAACAUUGGUUCAGUCUGGAAAGGUGGGACAACUGGAAGUGGGGAGGGGGCUUCCAGGUCACAGGUAGAUAAGAGAUAACUGGUUGCAUUCUUUUGGGUUUCUGAUUAGCCUCUCCAAAUGAGGCAAUCAGAUAUGCAUUUAUCUCAGUGAGCAGAGGGGUGGCUUUGAAUAGAAUGGGAGGGCAGCUUUGCCCUAAGCAGUUCCCAGCUUAACUUUUCCCUUUAGCUUAGUGAUUUGGGGAGUCCAUGAUAUUUUACUAUUAGUUCUUUAAAUGUGUGGUCAGAUUCACCUGUGAAGUAAUCCGGCCCCGGGCUUUUCUUUUUUGGGAGAAUUUUACUUGUUUACUCUCCUUAUUUGUUACUGAUCUUUUCAGUCUUUCUAUUUCUUCUUGAUUUAUUAUUGAUAGGUCAUAUGUUUCUAGGAAUUUACACAUUGUUUCCAGGUUGUACAAUUUGUUGGUGUAUAAUAGUCCCUUAUGAUCCUUUUUAUUUCUGUGGCAUAAAUUGUAAUGUCUUCUUUGUUAUUUCUGAUUUUAUUUAUUUGAGUCUUCUCCUUUCUUUCUUUGUCUAGCUAGAUGUUUGUUGAUUUUUAAAAAUCUUUUUAAAAAACCUGUUAGUUUUACCAAUCUUUCUUAUUAUUUUUCUAUUCUCUAUUUCACUGGUUUCUGCACUAAUCAUAAUUAUUUCCUUCUGUCUGAUAAUUUUCGCUUAGUUUUUUCUUAUUUUUUAUUUCCUUGAGGUAUAAAAGUAGAUUGUUUAUUUGAGAUUUUUCCUGUCUUAAAAUGUAGAUAUUUAGCACUAUAAACUUCCCUGUUAGUAUUGCUUUUGCUGCAUCUCAUAAGUUUUGGUAUUCUGUGUUUUCAUUUGAGUUUUAAUAUGGUUUGGAUUUGUGUCCCCACCCAAAUCUCAUGUUGAGUUGUAAUCCCCAGUUUUGGAGGAGGGGCUUGGUGGGAGGUGGUUGGAUCAUGGGGGUGGAUUUCCCCCUUGCUGUUCUCAUGACAGUGAGUGAGUUCUUACAACAUCUCAUUGUUUAAAAGUGUGUAGCACCUCCCCCUUUGCUGUUCUUCCUUCUCCAGCCAUGUAAGACAUGCCUGCUUCCCCUUUGCCUUCUGCCAUGAUUGUAAGUUUCCUGAGGCCACCCCAGCCAUGCUUCCUGUACAGCCUUGUGGAACUGUGAGUCAAUUAAACCUGUUUUCUUUAUACAUUACCCAGUCUAAGGUAGUUCUUUAUAGCAAUGUGAGAAGAGACUAAUACAGAAAAUUCGUACAUAGAAGUGGGGCAUUGCCAUAAACAUAUUUCAAAAUGUGGAAGCAACUUUGGAACUGAGUAAUGGGCAAAGGUUGGAACAGUUUGGAGGGCUCAGAAGGCAGGAAUAUGAGGGAAUGUUUGGAACUUCCUAGAGAUUUGUUAAAUUGUGGUGACCAAAAUGCUGACAAUGAUAUGGACAAUGAAGUCCAGGUUGAGGUGGUCCCAGUAAAAGUUUGGAAAAUUUGCAACCCAGCCAUGUGGUAGAAAAGAAAAACCCAUUUUCUGGGGAUGAAUUCAAGCCAGCUGCAUAAAUUGUGUAAGUAGAGGAGAGCAAUGGUAAUAACCAAGACAGUGGGGAAAAUGUCUUGAAGGCAUUUGAGAGAUCUUCUCAGCAGCUCCUCCCAUCACGGGCCCAGAGAGCUAGGAGGCAAGAAUGGUUUCAUGGGCUGGGCCCAUGGCCCCACUACCCUGCACAACUUUGGGACAAUGCUCCCAGCAUCCCUGCCACUCCUGCUCUAGCCAUGGCUAAAAGGAAGCAAGAGUUGAGGCUUUGGAGACUCCACCAAGGUUUCAGAGGAUUUGUGGAAAUGCCUGGAUGUCCAGGCAGAAUCCUGCUGUAGGGUCAGAGCCCUUAUGGAGAACCUCUACUAACACAGUGCAGAGGGGAAAUGUAAGGUUAGAGCCCCAACACAGAGUCCCCACUUGGGCUAUUUAUAUUUGUUAUCUUCUUGUUGAAUUGACCAUUUUAAAUUUCUAUAAAGACAUUCUUGAUCUUUUGUGGUAGUUUUUGACUUAAAUUCUAUUUUGGCUGCUAUAAGUAUAGCUAUUCCUGGUUUAUUUUGGUGAUCACUUGCAUGAAAUACCUUUUUCCACCCUUUAGUUUCAGCCUAUGUGUGUCCUUAAUUCUAAAGUGGGUCGUUUAUAGACAGUAUAUAGUAGAAUCUUGGUGUUUUUGAUCAAUUCAGCUACUGCAUAUGUUUGGAUUGGGUAGUUUAAUCCAUUUAUGUUUAAGGUAAUUAUUGAUAGUAAGAACUUACUAUUGCCAUUUUGUUAGUUGCUUUUUGUCUGUUUUGCAGUUGUUCCUAUUUUCAUUUUUCUCAUUUUCCUCUAUAAUUUUAAUUUUUUUGUAGUUUUAUGCUUUUAUUCCUUUUACUU